CAGUCGCCGCGGGAAAACGGAGGGUGCAAGCGUUAAUCGGAAUUACUGGGCGUAAAGCGCACGCAGGCGGUUUGUUAAGUCAGAUGUGAAAUCCCCGAGCUUAACUUGGGAACUGCAUUUGAAACUGGCAAGCUAGAGUAUUGUAGAGGGGGGUAGAAUUCCAGGUGUAGCGGUGAAAUGCGUAGAGAUCUGGAGGAAUACCGGUGGCGAAGGCGGCCCCCUGGACAAAGACUGACGCUCAGGUGCGAAAGCGUGGGGAGCAAACAGGAUUAGAUACCCGCGUAGUCCCUGUCUCUUAUAC
rnacentral:rRNA from 1 species